CGGGAAGUAGCACAGCUUGGUAGUGCACCUGGUUUGGGACCAGGGGGUCGCAGGUUAGGUUCAAAUCCUGUCUUCCCGACCA
rnacentral:tRNA from 1 species